UGUACUGAGCUUCUUCUACGAACUCUGUAAUUCUAGCCUUUGAGGAUACAACAAUGAAGCUGACACAAUUCCUACCCUUGAAAAGCUUAUCUGCUUGCAGAUGGUGACGAGCAAGACACAGAAUCACACGUCUUCCCGCCAGGAGAGGAAAGCUCCUAGGUACUUCUGUGUAGAAUGAAGACAUCAAGCCCACUUCCAGUUCUAACAUCCUAUUAUUCUGCAUGAAGACAUUCAAUAAAUAUUUGGCCAUGAUACAUCUUCAUGGAACCAAAUUUGUAAAUGGGACAGAGAACUGAGGCUCAAACAAAAGUUCUGAUAUUUUGUUCUAGCAACACAAAAUGGACUAAAACAAGCAGAAAAGAGAAAUGAUCAGAUACACCUUAUUAAAGAAACACUGUGGAUUCUUGGUGGAAGUUUUGCUAAAGAGAGACAGGAGUGGAAG